rnacentral:rRNA from 1 species
AGCAGCCGCGGUAAUUCCAGCUCCAAUAGCGUAUAUUAAAGUUGUUGCAGUUAAAAAGCUCGUAGUUGAAUUUCGGGGUCAUCAAGUUGGUCGUGCCACUGGUAUGCACUGGCCUUGCUGAUUCCUCCUUCUUGAAGAACUGUAAUGCUAUUAAUUUAGUGUUGCAGGGAAACAGGACUGUUACUUUGAAAAAUUAGAGUGUUUAAAGCAGGCUAACGCUUGAAUACAUUAGCUUGGAAUAAUGAAAUAGGACGUUUGAUCCUAUUUUGUUGGUUUCUAGGAUUGACGUAAUGAUUAAUAGGGAUAGUUGGGGGCAUUAGUAUUCAAUUGUCAGAGGUGAAAUUCUUGGAUUUAUUGAAGACUAACUACUGCGAAAGCAUUUGCCAAGGAUGUUUUCAUUAAUCAAGAACGAAAGUUAGGGGAUCGAAGACGAUC